GGCAGGGUGCCGCGCCACUUCCUUCUCGCCGUCAACGACCUCCAGGCUCCACCACCUCUAACAUGGUUCGACAUUUGACUUUGAUUGGCUUCUCCUUGGUUGAAGAGAUGCAAAAUCGCAAAUCCAGUACUUGAUUGGCUUCUCGUUGGUUGUACAGAUGCAAAUCGAGAUAAACAAAUCGAACGAAUCUGUAUAUUGCCGUAGUUUAUGCAACCAAUAAUCAAACACAUCCACUUGGCUCCUCCAGGUCAAUGCUUGGGCUCCCCGAGUC
rnacentral:lncRNA from 1 species